CUCGUCGUCGACACCUUCUUCGUGUGGCCGGCCACGCUGGCCAGGAAGCUCGGGGUCCCCUACGUGUCCUUCUGGACGGAGCCCGCGCUCAUCUUCAGCCUCUACUACCACAUGGACCUGCUCACCAAGCAUGGCCACUUCAACUGCAAAGGUGAUGAUGAACGAAAAUCGCCUUGAAUUAAUAUAAAUUAGCUCUUCUCUGUUUGUUCAUAAAAUUCAUUUUUCUUAAAAACAAGCUCACACCUUUUUAACCAAAAAUAUAUUUAGAGAAUGCGGUUCAGUAUACCACACGUAGUACACGGCCUCCAGGAUACACGGCCUCCAGGAUGGGUACCUAUCUCCAUCUCCUUGCAAGUACGUCUAUAGCAUGAUUUUUCUUGUGGAACCUAGAACAUGGCCAAAACAGGUGACGGGAGCAGACCCCAAUCAGGUCGUUUUUUCCUCGUAGUUUUUUGGACGUCGCUUUCACCCGUACGUGUACACAGCGCACCUGUCCAUAGCCGAUUGAGGGAUCUCUAGCCAAUUCUAUCUAGGAUUGCGAGGGAACCACGUAAUUGGAGGCUCAAGACCGAGAGGGGUGCAGAUACAGUAAGAAUUUUCUUAUCCCAUUUCUGAGGAGACACUGGUCGCCAUCUGGACCAUGCAACUGACGCUUCUGGCGGGUUUGGCUCGUUGCGCGCAUACAGCAUUCCAAAGUCUCUUUCUCUAUCAUUGUCACUCUCAAGAGAAAAACUCACUCUCUCAUUAUCAUCACCUCACAUGACGCUCCCUGGUUGGCUUGGUGAGGAAAAGAGUAGUAAUAUCGUGCAGGCUGAACCGGACCGAUGACUUGGCCAGCCUUAUGGACUUACGGGAGUGGCAAUUUUUUUACCACUUGGCCCAACGUCACCCAGUCAAAUGAGAACGGAUAAACGCCACUUCUCGAGUGGAUCAAGUGCCUAGUAUAGAAUUCACCUUACAUGCAUCCUAUUUUAUUCCGAUUUAAAGUUGGUUCAGGACAAAAGGUUCACCAACCGGGACUAAAGCUUGGUCAUUGGUGGGGGGCUCACCAACCGGGACCUUUUAUCCCGAUUGCAAAGGCUAGUGGAAAAAAAGACCCUGAGAGACCCUGAGGUGGGAUGGCAAGGAAGCUACGCGCGAGGCUGGAGGUUCUGGGUUCGAAUCCCACGCAGCGCGCACGCGCAUAUUUCGCGUGAAAAAUCGCGUGACUUGCGACGUCCAGGAUUUUUUGUUUUGCAGCGCCUGGCAUGGUGACCUGUUUUAUCCCGGUUGGUAAUACCAACCGGGAUAAAAGGGGGUCUUUAGUCCCGGUUGAGUGACCCGGGACAAAAGACCCCUCCUUUUGUCUCGGUUGGUUUAUCCCGGGUGAAUUUUUGGGAGAUUUGCAUCCUACCAACCGGGACUAAAGGCCAAUUCUCUACCAGUGCCCGUAGAUUUAAGGCAUCUCGUUCUUCUGUUGAAAAAACCAACCCAUAAGCAUUUUUCUUGUAAAUGUACACCCUAAUGUGGACAUGCUUAACCGAUUCCACCUAUCUUCACUAAUGUACAACCAAGAAGGAGUGAAGGAUAAAGCUAGCCGAGCUAAGCUUGUUCACGUGCUUGGCGUAGGCUUAUUGACCAUACAGUAUUAUAGUGAUUUUUUUAAAAAAGCAAAACUCAUCCUGAAAGCGUUUAAGUCCUAAUCAGAAAUUUUUUUAGUGGAGUGAACUAUAAAGACUAUAUUGGCGGCUCCAUGUUAAUGAAAAAUGGAGUGAAUCGGUUAAACAUGUGUUAUACUAGCUUUGUUCAUUGUAUGUCCAUUGGACGCCUAUUUUUCACCUCCAAAUGAUAUGGAGCGAAUCGAAUUUUUUUGUGUCAUCAGGCUGUUGCUCUUGGUCAUCUCUUAUAGUACCCUCAAUUAUAGUGCCCUCAAGGUCUGCUUGGAUCCACCCAUCUAGAACUAUCCAGCUAAAUUUAACUCUAGUUGAUAUUUUUCAAAAAAAAACUCUAGUUGAUCCAAAUAUGCCCAACUAUUCCAGCUAACAACUCUCGACUAUUUAACUAAUCACUAUCCUGAUUAUCCUAUAUCACCUUAUCUAUUGCAUGUGCAUCCAUCUAUAUAAUACUCUACCAAGUCAAAAAGUAUGUGCGGCUGCACAGAGAGCAGCAGGAAAGCUUUGUACUCCUACUCCUGAUUCCUGUUCCUCUGCACAUUAUAUAAACCAAAUAAACCAACAAGCAGAAGCUCCCGGCCGGCGACGACCGGGCGGCGGCUAACGCGAAGGUGACAGAUCGAGUAUAAAUAACGGACGGCACGUUAGGUGACGUUGCCCGUGUCAGACACGGGGCCAGCCAUAGCGAGCUGCCGCUCCGCAGCUCAGGGACACUACACUGAGUCACUGACCAGCUGACACGUGACGAGAUAUAUCAAGCGAGGAGGCAGAGAUAAACUAAGGUAUAGCUCGUCGGAAAUGGCACCGCAAGAGUCCGGCGUCGUAGCACCGGGCGGCGGCGGCAAUAAGCCGCACGCGGUGGUGGUGGCGUACCCGCUGCAGGGCCACAUCAUCCCCGUGGCGCACCUCGCGCUGCGGCUCGCGGCGCGGGGCUUCGCCGUCACCUUCGUCAGCACGGAGGCCGUGCACGACCAGACGGCGCGCGCGAUGGGCGUCGACGACCCGGACGGCUACGACGUCUUCGCGGCCGCGCGCGCGUCGGUGGCGUCGGGCGGCGAGGGGGAGGAGGAGCUGGACGUGGCGUACGAGCUGGUGAGCGACGGCCUCCCCGUGGGGUUCGACCGGUCGCUGCACCACGACGACUUCAUGGGCGCGCUGCUCCACGCUCUGCCCGCGCACGUCGAGGAGCUGCUCCGCCGCGUCGUCGUGGACCCGGCCGCCACGUUCCUCGUCGCCGACACCUUCUUCGUGUGGCCCGCGACGCUGGCCACGCGGCUCGGCGUCGCGUACGUGUCGUUCUGGACCGAGCCGGCGCUCAUCUUCAACCUCUACUACCACAUGGACCUGCUCACCCACAACGGCCACUUUAGAUGCAACGGUUUGCUUAAUUAUCCGAUGCCAUUUCUGCAGGAACCGAAACCAAUCGUCUUACAAGAUCGAUCAUCUUGGAAUACUAAUAAUAAUGUUUGUGCUCAACGAC
rnacentral:lncRNA from 1 species